CCUUGUCUUUCCCGCCUAUAUACCGCCGUCGUCAGCUUACCCUUUGAGGGACCCAUAGUAAGCACAAUUGGCACAGCCCAGUACGUCAGGUCGAGGUGUAGCUAAUGAGAGGGGAUGAGAUGGGCUACAUUUCCUAAACAAGGAAAUACGAAAAAUCGUUCUGAAACGAACAUUAGAUUGAGGAUUUAGUAGUAAGUAGAAAGCAGAGAGUUCUACUGAAGCCGGCCAACUUAAGCGCGCACACACCGCCCGUCACUCUCCCCGAGCAAACAAAUUACUAUACCUAAUUAUCCCACACCUGCAAUUAUAGGGGAGGCAAGUCGUAACAUGGUAAGUGUACCGGAAGGUGCACUUGGAUAAAU
rnacentral:rRNA from 1 species